GACGAACGCUGGCGUCGUGCUUAACACAUGCAAGUCGAACGGAAAGGCCCUGCUUUUGUGGGGUGCUCGAGUGGCGAACGGGUGAGUAACACGUGAGUAACCUGCCCUUGACUUUGGGAUAACUUCAGGAAACUGGGGCUAAUACCGGAUAGCAGCUCCUGCUGCAUGGUGGGGGUUGGAAAGUCUCGGCGGUUGGGGAUGGAUUCGCGGCUUAUCAGCUUGUUGGUGGGGUAGUGGCUUACCAAGGCUUUGACGGGUAGCCGGCCUGAGAGGGUGACCGGCCACAUUGGGACUGAGAUACGGACCAGAGUCCUACGGGAGGCAGCAGUGGGGAAUAUGGCACAAUGGGCGGAAGCCUGAUGCAGCAACGCCGCGUGCGGGAUGACGGCCUUCGGGUUGUAAACCGCUUUCGCCUGUGACGAAGCGGGAGUGACGGUAAUGGGUAAAGAAGCACCGGCUAACUACGUG
rnacentral:rRNA from 1 species